GUGCCCGUAGCUCAGUUGGAUAGAGUGUUGGCCUCCGAAGCCAAAGGUCGCUGGUUCGACUCCAGUCGGGCACGCCA
rnacentral:tRNA from 1 species